GUCCACGCCUUAAACGAUGGAUGUUCGGUGUCGGCCCGCAAGGGUCGGUGCCUGAGCUAACGCGUUAAACAUCCCACCUGGGGAGUACGAUCGCAAGGUUGAAACUCAAAGGAAUUGACGGGGCCCGCACAAGCAGUGGAGCAUGUGGUUCAAUUCGAUGCAACGCGAAGAACCUUACCUGGGUUUGAAAGGCUCUGUAAACCGGUGAAAGCCGGCUAGUGUAGCAAUACACGCGGAGUACAGGUGCUGCAUGGCUGUCGU
rnacentral:rRNA from 1 species